UCAAAACCAGAUAAUAAAAUGAAGGAAAGCUCUAAGAGUCAUUGGUAGCUCUGUGGAAUCACUAGAAUAUGAGCAUCAUCUCCCAAAAAACUCCAUAUGAAGAGAAAGGUUCUCUUGCAGACACAUUUAUACUAUCAUAAAUCUCUGUGAAAGUGCUUUGAUUGCACAUGGUCAUGAAACACAAAAAGAGGACCCAGAUGUUUUAGCAAACCUACCUCAGGAGAAAAAAAGUAACUUAAAAAUGCACUUUAAUAAGCAGUUAAUAAUCAGCUGUCACAUCAAAACAUGAAACAUGCUCAAUAGCAACUACCACAAAACCCCUUCAAUUUAAUGUUGUUGUGGUACUGGUACUAUAUAGUUAGACACUGCAUAUAGUUGAGCUGUCACUCAUUUGGAAUCCAAUUCUGCCCUUGGAUUUAAAACAAUACAUCAGAGUCAUUCAGGUUAAUUCUACCUUGCUUUAUUUUAAAUACAAGACAAUAUUUGCACCUUAGUAACAACAUAACCAAGAACAUUUCCUGAGGCUGCAACACUUAGUAAUGUUAUUUUAUCAUGAAGAUGUUAUGGGCCGAGAUCACUCUUCAUUUACUUAUCCUCCAUGUUCUUAAAAAGAGCACAAAACACCAUUUUCUCUUGGAAUCCAAUCUUAAUGUCCAAAGCACCUGUUUUUUGGUGUUCUUUUAAUUGUUUCCUAAAAACAGGUAUCUUAUGUAUAUGUUUGAUACUUGAAGAAGCAAAGGUGGAAGGUUUUUUCACUUUGCAAAACAUAUUGGGGAAAAAAAAAUAAUUCACUUCAAAUAUUUCAUUUUCAAGAGAGAAGCUUUUUUUCAGACAACAGGAGUAUUUUGUAGGGGAACAGAUCAUUAAAGAUCUAUAUUAUAUCUAUUACAGAUCAAUAAAGAUCUAACUAUAUGUGAGUGAGCUCAAAAUCAUGUUUAUCACAACAAACAAGUAAAAUGACACUGCAUGGCUCUUGCUACAAUUUGACCACUUGAUAUUCACGUAUUUCAUUUGCAGUAACUCCAAAUUUAUCCCAACCAUUUCACUUUCUCCCCAUCAUUUCUGUCCACAUAUCUGCAUUACAUUUUUUUUUUUUAAUUUCCCUGCUGUUACCAAUUACUUCAUCCAAUCUCUUGUUUUAUUUUCUUCUCUUUUUAAAUAUAAAAUCUACACUUGAAAGAUAUACUCACUGAUGUUCUGUAUCACUUAAUGAGCAAUUCUCCUCACAAUGACAUAUUUUGGUAUCCUCUUAUCUUUACUAGAAAACAUAAUUUUUCUCUUCUAGAUCUUGCCUGUAUGUAAAAGACAUGGAACACAAAACUUCCUUUUCAUUGCUCCACAUAUUUUGCAACCCUCUCAGAUCAUCAUUUUUCGGAAUUAGGCCAUAAAGACACAAGUCAUUUGUAAAACUGUACUCUACUAUUUUUAUUCCCUUAACUCCCCAUCUUCUCAGCUUUUAGAAGGAAAAAAAAAAAAGAAAAA